CAGUAGCCACGGUAAUACGAAGGGUGCAAGCGUUAAUCGGAAUUACUGGGCGUAAAGGGUGCGUAGGCGGUUGUUUAAGUCUGUUGUGAAAUCCCCGGGCUCAACCUGGGAAUGGCAAUGGAUACUGGCGAGCUAGAGUGUGUCAGAGGAUGGUGGAAUUCCCGGUGUAGCGGUGAAAUGCGUAGAGAUCGGGAGGAACAUCAGUGGCGAAGGCGGCCAUCUGGGACAACACUGACGCUGAGGCACGAAAGCGUGGGGAGCAAACAGGAUUAGAUACCCCCGUAGUCCCUGUCUCUUAUAC
rnacentral:rRNA from 1 species